rnacentral:sRNA from 1 species
UUGUAAGAUGCGAUAUCCAAAGGUGUGUACUUCAAAUUGAAAACAGUCGUGAUCCGAUUAUAUCAUCGCGCAUGUUUCUGCACAAUAUAAAAGAACCUGACAAAACUGUCCAGGUUCUUUUUUGA